UACGUAGGGUGCAAGCGUUAAUCGGAAUUACUGGGCGUAAAGCGUGCGCAGGCGGCUUUGCAAGACAGAUGUGAAAUCCCCGGGCUUAACCUGGGAACUGCAUUUGUGACUGCAUGGCUGGAGUGCGGCAGAGGGGGAUGGAAUUCCGCGUGUAGCAGUGAAAUGCGUAGAUAUGCGGAGGAACACCGAUGGCGAAGGCAGCCCCCUGGGCUAACACUGACGCUCAGGCACGAAAGCGUGGGGAGCAAACGGG
rnacentral:rRNA from 1 species